AGAUUUCUGUUUCUCACCUGCUGAGACCCUGUGGAGCUGCCCGCAGCGUUGCCUCGACUAUAAAUACAGGGCAUUUGCCGCAAGUCCUUCGGGGCGACACUGCACCAUUGCGGGGAUGUUUGACUUCAGACAACCCGCAGCCCCUACCCGGGGUUCACAGACUAAGUGGCAGUGGGCCUCCGGGCUUAAGAUAUAGUCGGCUUCAGGGCGCAAGCCCUGGAAUACAGCGUCCGUAGGUCAAGUUUUGCCUACUACAGCACGCAACUGCUAGUCUCUUCGGAGGCGACACACUCAACUUGCGGAGAGAUCCUCCUUGGAGGCAAAUCCGCAGCUCCUACCCGGAGUUCAGAGACUCAAUGAGUGUGGGUUCACAGGCUGAGCUUAAGAUAGAGCCCGUCCCAGCUGGCAAUGGCUGGGAGUCAACGGAACCUGCGGAAGGAUCAUUAAAGAGUCGCGAGGGUUCAAGCCCUCAAAAUUCAACCCUUUGUUUACAACUACCAUAUUGUUGCUUUGGCAGCCUCCGGGCUGCCAGAGGCCUAUAACCCUUGAAUUACUGAUGUCUGAGUACUAUAUAAUAGUUAAAACUUUCAACAACGGAUCUCUUGGUUCUGGCAUCGAUGAAGAACGCAGCGAAAUGCGAUAAGUAAUGUGAAUUGCAGACUUCAGUGAAUCAUCGAAUCUUUGAACGCACAUUGCGCCCCCCGGUAUUCCGGGGGGCAUGCCUGUUCGAGCGUCAUUACAACCCUCAAGCUCUGCUUGGUAUUGGGCUCGCCCUCACGGGCCUGCCCUAAAAUCAGUGGCGGUGAUAUCUUGACCCUAAGCAAAGUAAUUAUAGCCUGCUUAGUAGGAAGAGUGUUUGCCUGCCAGCAACCCCCCAUUUUUAAAGGGUUGACCUCGGAUCAGGUAGGGAUACCCGCUGAACUUAAGCAUAUC
rnacentral:rRNA from 1 species